UCUGGCUCCGUUGAUGGUUCAGCAGGCCGCCUCUCUUUCCGGAUCCCUUCAUUCUUACAAAGGAGCCAGGCACCCCUCCUUGGCCCUGGAGACAGGCCAUCAGCGGAACAGACAGGCGUCUUCCACAGGACUUUCUAGGAGCCUGCACGUUUCUGGAAGAGGCCAACAAUGAACAAGUAAACAAACACGUAAGAAAGAGCACUUUGGAUGCUGCUCAGGAUAUGCUGAUAAAGGCAAGAAUACGGAAGUGGUUCGCCAUUCCCUUCUCUAGCGGACCACGUUUUGUCAGAAGGAUGAGACAGAGGACGAGAUGGUUGGAUGGCAUCACUGACUCGAUGGACAUGAGUUUGAGUAAGCUCUGGGAGUUGGUGAUGGACCGGGAAGCCUGGCGUGCUGCAGUCCAUGGGGUCAUGAAGAGUCAGACACAACCGGGCGACUGAACUGAACUGAAGCUUGCACUUGAUUUAGGAAAACUGAAUCAUGCUGUGUAUAACUCUCAAAGUGAAUCAUUUGAAGAAGACGUUACAACAGUUGGG
ensembl:lncRNA